rnacentral:rRNA from 1 species
GAUGAACGCUGGCGGCGUGCCUAAUACAUGCAAGUCGAGCGAACAGAUGAGGAGCUUGCUCCUCUGACGUUAGCGGCGGACGGGUGAGUAACACGUGGAUAACCUACCUAUAAGACUGGGAUAACUUCGGGAAACCGGAGCUAAUACCGGAUAAUAUAUUGAACCGCAUGGUUCAAUAGUGAAAGACGGUUUUGCUGUCACUUAUAGAUGGAUCCGCGCGGCAUUAGCUAGUUGGUAAGGUAACGGCUUACCAAGGCAACGAUGCGUAGACGACCUGAGAGAGUGAUCGGCCACACUGGAACUGAGACACGGUCCAGACUCCUACGGGAGGCAGCAGUAGGGAAUCUUCCGCAAUGGGCGAAAGCCUGACGGAGCAACGCCGCGUGAGUGAUGAAGGUCUUCGGAUCGUAAAACUCUGUUAUUAGGGAAGAACAAAUGUGUAAGUAACUAUGCACGUCUUGACGGUACCUAAUCAGAAAGCCACGGCUAACUACGUG